rnacentral:rRNA from 1 species
GAUUAACGCGAAGAACCUUACCUACCCUUGACAUGUACGGAAGCCACGAGAGAUCGAGGCGUGCUCGAAAGAGAGCCGUAACACAGGUGCUGCAUGGCUGUCGUCAGCUCGUGUCGUGAGAUGUUGGGUUAAGUCCCGCAACGAGCGCAACCCUUGUCAUUAGUUGCUACGAAAGAGCACUCUAAUGAGACUGCCGGUGACAAACCGGAGGAAGGUGGGGAUGACGUCAAGUCCUCAUGGCCCUUAUGGGUAGGGCUUCACACGUCAUACAAUGGUACAUACAGAGGGCCGCCAACCCGCGAGGGGGAGCUAAUCCCAGAAAGUGUAUCGUAGUCCGGAUUGUAGUCUGCAACUCGACUACAUGAAGUUGGAAUCGCUAGUAAUCGCGGAUCAGCAUGUCGCGGUGAAUACGUUCCCGGGCCUUGUACACACCGAAUCACUAGU